rnacentral:rRNA from 1 species
UACGUAGGGGGCAAGCGUUGUCCGGAAUCAUUGGGCGUAAAGCGCACGUAGGCGGCCCUGUAAGUCCGUUGUGAAAGUCAAAGGCUCAACCUUUGAAUGCCGAUGGAUACUGCAGGGCUAGAGUCCGGAAGAGGCGAGUGGAAUUCCUGGUGUAGCGGUGGAAUGCGCAGAUAUCAGGAGGAACACCAAUAGCGAAGGCAGCUCGCUGGGACGGUACUGACGCUAAGGUGCGAAAGCGUGGGGAGCGAACAGG